rnacentral:lncRNA from 1 species
GCGGAAUCUACUUUCGUAGUAACCUCACACAUGUUUUGUGUCGUCUCAUGCGAUGAAGAGUUGAAGACGGGUACAGCGUCCGGUGUAGAAGAAGAAUCUAUAUAACGGAGGUGGCAGUGGCGGCUAAAUUAAGAACUUAGAUGCGAACUAGACCGGUGAUAGGGUCAAGAGAGGAACUGCUAUCAUUAUGUUUCAGAGAGAGGUUUGCGAAUUGGGAAUCAAGAUCUCUACUGCUAGAGCAUUGAUAGCUAGACGACGGCUGCUGUUGAUUUUGCUGCUGGUACAUGACUCGUAACCGACCGAUCUCCCUCUCCAAUACCUCCUGCUCAACUGAGAAGAAACAUGAAUGCCUAAUUCAGUCUUUAUUCAAUAAAUUUUUAUUCGAAUCAAUUAAAACAAUUACAGUUCAUAGCAACAUAGAUCAAUGAUGGGCCAUUAGCCACAUUGACCUUUUUCUAUCAUGCUUUUGGAAGAUCUAAUACAUUGUUAAGAGAACCUGCUAUGUCGAUAUGAUAAGUUUUUUUUAAUCAACCAACUAUGAAAAGUUAAAAAAUAUUACCCAUCUAUUCGAAUUUUUCUUUUUCGGUCACCAGCCAUGGGAAGGUAACUUGACAGCUUUUAAAAUUAACAUAAUAACAACUUUAACCCUCAACAUUUAUAUACUAUGUGAAUUUAGUCACGAUUUUAAAAAAUUUAACUCUCAACGUUUACACAUUGUGUAGCUUGGUCUACUUUUUUUAAAAAAUAUUUUUCUUUAUGUCAUUCACUUAAAAAGUAAAAACCAAAAAAAAAAAAACAAAUUUAUCAAAAAUAUACUAAAAAUGAAAACACUCGGAAGUCCAAGAUAAUAUUUUUUAUCUUUUUUCGUUCUUUUAAAAUUUACCCUCGAUAUCACAAAUAAAAGUAAAACUGCAAAAAGAAAAAGAAAAUUUAUACAGUGUAUAAAUGUUGAGGGUUAAUUGGUGAUAAAAAAAACAAAAGUGAAUAAUUGGGUGACCAUUUGUAACUUUUCAUAGAUGGUGAUUAAAAAAGAAAUUUACUAAUAAUUGAAUUACUACCAGUGUAGUUCAACUUAAAAUAUUCAUGUCCGACACCCAUAUAUGACGCAUAUCCAAACAUGGAUAUGGGGCUACAACCCUCCAAAGGCACUCCAAAUAUAAGGAAAAGCCCAAGGGACAUCUACUCAUAUCCAACGCUCAUACCCGAGUCCCAUUUGUGCUCUCGAGGAAGGGGGAAAAUCAAAUUUUCCAAGCAUAGAACAAAACCAAAAGAAUAUGACAUGGACCCCCCCCCCCCCCUUAACAUGAAGAGAAAACUAGUAAAAGUGGCUCAAACUAUCUGAAAAAUGAACUCUCCGGUGAUUUUUCAGAUCAAAGUUUCUACUCCCUGGAUUUAUCACACCUCUCGUAUUGCCAAUUCAUACAGGUCGAAAAUAUGGAGUAUAUACAAAUAAUUAGAAGGUAAAAAGAAAAAAAAAGUGAAAAGCGAUACAUAAUACGUAAUGCAGAAAAAAGAAAUCUAAUCAUAGCUUUAGAAGUCAUGGGUUCAAUGCUUACGAUAUUUGAUAGCUUGUUCUUGAGCUAAACUCUCUAAACGUUGCUUAAGAGCUUUGUUCUCCAUGCUAAGAAUAAGAUUCUGCUGGUUGAGAAAUUCGAGCUCAGCUGAAACUUCAGACCCUUCUGCCUGUUAUUUAAGAACCACAUUUCAUACUUCCAUAUUGAGGCAUAUACCGAUCCAUAACUUCUAAGUCAAUUUCAAAUGUAAAUAAAUGUUUAAAAUUUCGAUUUGCACAAACUCUUGCCUGCAAGGCUUGUACAUUUCUUUCGAGCUCAGCUAUGUACUGGAGUUUACGCCCCCUUGAGCGUUGAGCAAACUGCCUGGAUAAGACAAUAACAAAAGUACUGUAAUCAAACAUAAGAAAACAUAAUACGUAUUACUGUUAUGCUUCCAUAAGUAUCUAUGCAUGAAAAACCUGCUAACAGACAAUACAAAAGCAGGCUCAUAUACCUUGAUCCUGUAUGUGCAUGAAAAAAAAUAGUAGCACAAUAGCCAACUAGUGUUAUUCGUUGAGCUCGUAAAAUGUAACUUUUAAAUGAUAUUUGAUAACAGUGUGAGAUUCGGCUCAAAGUAAGCACAAGCAGGGAACAAAAAAUAGCACAGAGGCCCUUGUAACCAGGAGAACACUGUAGGUUGCUUUACUGUAAUUGUAAUGUAAUUCAAUUGUGAAACAAUAAAAUGGCAACUCACUGCUUCGCACGUUUUGAGUCGGUGUCAGAUGAAGAAGACUUAGUGUGAGAAUUAUCCUUUUUCUCGGAAGAACCUUUUGCAUCAGGAGAUGCAGAUUCAGCAGAAUCUUUUUUCUCACUUGCUGUUGAUGGCGGAGCCUCCGGUUCUUCCAGUGUACAUGAUGAUCCUAAACCUUGGAUAAACGUGCUUUCUCUAAGAGAAGGUGAAUCCCAUGCCCUAUUUUUUUGCUUUACCAAGUUUACAUUGGCAUGGAAAGAGUUAACCCGAGCAUCUUUCUGAUUGUGAUGAUCAAAGUCCUGAUGUGUCCAAGAAGGUGAGGAAAUCAUACUUUUAUAUCUGCAUUCAUCCUGAGCUCCGUAAUCUAGGUUAGGUGCAUUGGAUACAUCAAUGAAUGCAAAAGAAUCACUAGAUGAACAUCGAUGACGGCCUUUGUACAUAGGACUCCCUGGUUCGUUAAGGAGAUUGUCAAGCCAAGAAGGUUGUUCCUCUAUCAGAUGACUUUCAGAGGAAGUAUGCUGGUGGUACGUACUUCCCACUCUAGACUUUUGAAUCACUUUUGAUCCAAUUACAUUGUUCGGGAUAUAAUCGGUAUACACAGGGGAGGCUAUAGGAAGAGGACUUUUAGGAGGAAGCAAAGCGUGUUUUCCGGCAAACAUCAAAUUUCUUAUAUUUGUUGACCCCUUCGAAUUCGCAAUGACCAAGGACAACCAGUUCCUGCAAAGUAACAUAUAAGAGAGACUGAUCAUGUAGUACCCUUGUUAUAUAGCAGAUAAUGAUCUAAACAUCAAAAUAUCCAUGUUCGAUGCACAAUAUAUGCGUAACAACGAGACAUUCCAGUAAAUAUUCACGAAAACAAACUAAAAGAUCACACAAGAACAUUAAAAAAAAAAUCAUGAAUUAUACAUUGCAUACAUAUUUCAACUUAUCGAGCAAUCACUGAAUUUUGUACCUUCAUAGCUUGUAAUAGCUAUUGUGCCCUUUCCCUUGACUUCUAAGUACUCACCAUUUCCAAUCCUCACUCUUUUGACUUCAGUGUUUCUCAAUUCCUCGAAGAGCUCCUUGUCAUACAUCAUGUGAUUUGUGCACCCACUGUCAAUCAACCAGCUCUCACUUGAUUCUCUUCCUGAGAAACAAGUAACCACGAACAAUUGAUCUUCGUUCAACUCAGAACCAAGCAAUCUCACCUUGUUGGCAAUGCUGAGAAGUCUGUCAGAAUAUUCUUUCACUGACUCAGACUCCUUCAUCUUCUGUAACUCGAAAUCCCCGAUUAGAUUCAGGACUUUCAUUCCACGAAUCCUUUCAUCUCCUUCGUACUCAGCCUUGAGGUAAUCCCAGAUUUCCUUUGCUGAUUUCAGAGACAUUAUUCGUGUGAAAAUCAUUUGAGACUCUGUUGCAAAUAAGCAAGCUUUUGCCUUUGAUUUCCUUGUCUUCUUUUCCUUUUGUGCUAUAAUCUGUGUCACAGUAGGAUUUGCUGGAAGUGGUGGGACCUCGUAAUCCUCUUCUACAAGUUCCCAAAGAUCUAAAGCCUCCAGGUAAGUCUUCAUGCGAACUGCCCACAUCUGGUAAUUGUCUCCAUCGAAGACUGGUGGUGCAGCAACUAAAAAACUGGACCCUCCUCCCAUCUUAACACGCAAAUAACCUCACAGAUCCCUGAAGAAAAUAACUCCGAUAGCAAUUUGUUGGUGAUUAGAACUCGAACUUUGACGAUUGAUCGAGAGAUUUGAAGCAGAAAGAAGAGAAAAGAAGUUUUAAGAUAGAAAAUAAUUAAAGACUGGAAUAAUAAUUGAUUUGCAAUUCAACAAUUUAAAUAUAAAAGUUCAAGACUAAAAAUAGAAAAAGAGUUCUAAAAAAUUGGCUAAAAUUCUGGUAACAAUAUACCAAACAAAUCAAGAAACUAAGCUCCUAAAGUCAAAGGAGAAUUAUUUAAACUUAGUAACAAAAAAAAUUAAAUGGCAGCAAUAAACACAUGAUCUCAACACUUUCUAAGAAGCAUAGCAACUUUUGGUAUACAUUUGAGCAGAACUUGAGUAAUUAUCACCAUGGCCCUUGACAACUUCAAUUUUAUAAUGUGGACCUGUAACUGUAUCAUCGUCUUUGUAAAGAACAAUAACAUCACCGGUAUUUAACCGUUUGAACCGGACAAAUUGGAUCCAACCGGAAACUAUGUCGAGUUUCGGAACAACCCCAGAUCGUAUAGUGCAAUAAAAGUUCCAUGAGAUUCCGACAUCAUCUUUAACCUGCAACUUUUCUCCUCCAUGGCUCCGUUGUGAUUGUUGCAAAGCUUGUAAGCAGCUGUCUGGUAACGAUAGUGUUCUUUCGAUGUCGAUUUUUGUGAGAACUUUAAAGAAACUUGCCAUGUUUGAACUGAAAAGUGGUCAAGUUUAUGCUUAUACUCCUAAAGAGAAAGAGAACGAGAACGAGACUGGAUUGAAAAUUGAAAACGCCAGAUAAAAUAAAACGAGGGAUCGUGCGUUUGUGAUUUGGGGUCUUUUUUAUUGAUUUUUGUUGGAUUAAAGAAAAAAAAAAGUUCUUACAUGUGGUUGUCAUUAGGUCAAAUGUCUUCUUUAAUAAUCAAAGUUGGUCGCUCGAGAUUUCGCAACCCAAUGGCUGUUACCUGCACUGUCGCGCGGCACCUUUUUUUUUUUUAAUUUUGUCCACUGAGUUUUAAUUUUAAUUUAAUUGAUAUUUUAUUGCAAUCAAUGUUAAUUGGAUUCGCAUAUAUUUGAUUGGUGAUACUAAUGAAUUUUUUAGAUGAGUGGUAUGUUUAUUUUCAGUUAUGAUAAAAAUAAUGAUAACAGUGAUAAGAUUAGAUAAUAUAACGUGAGAGAAAAAAAAUUAAACGCACUGUACUAGAAUUCACCGCCCAUCCAAAAGGAACUAAGAAUCAGUCAAAUAAAUGGGUUGAAUUAGUAAUCACUCGGAAUUAAUAAAUAAAAAUAAAAAAUUAAGAUUAAAAUUAAUGGUUGAAUCUAUUUUUAUAAAAUUUUUAAUAUUUUCUAUUAAUUUAUUUUAUCAUUGUUGGUUGAAUAAGGAUAGAAAUUGACGGUUGAACAUCGAAUAAAGAAUUAGUGAUCUGAUCAAUACAAUGUAAAAAAUUGUAGUAACUUGAACUCAAUCGAAUUUUAUUUUUGUGAUUUGAUUUAUAUUUAAUUUUUUUUAUGAUGUAAAAAUAAAUAUUUUAUAUUUAUAAUAGUGAAAAUAAAUUAAAUGGUAUUUGUUAGAAUGAGUUAACGUAGUUUUUAAACCCUAAACCCAAUUUCAGUUCAAGCAAUACAAAUGUUUAAUGGUAUUUGCUCAAGAGAAGCUGAACAUUCACCAUACAUAGAUUGGGAAUAUGGAAGUUGAAAGAGUAAUCAAAUGGAUCUAAUUAUGAAAAUGGUGAACCUAAUUUCUUCUUCCUGCUCCAAUUGCAGAAACCGAGAAAGGGUCGUCUCGGCUUUUGGGGUAUGCGGAAUCUACUUUCGUAGUAACCUCACACAUGUUUUGUGUCAUCUCAUGCGAUGAAGAGUUGAAGACGGGUACAACGUCCGGUGUAGAAGAAGAAUCUAUAUAACGGAGGUCGCAGUGGCGGCUAAAUUAAGAACUUAGAUGCGAACUGGACCGAUGAUAGGGUCAAGAGAGGAACUGCUAUCAUUAUGUUUCAGAGAGAGGUUUGCGAAUUGGGAAUCAAGAUCUCUACUGCUAGAGCAUUGAUGGCUAGACGACGACUGCUGUUGAUUUUGCUGCUGG